AAAGUUCUGAGACGCUCCGACU
rnacentral:miRNA from 15 species